rnacentral:rRNA from 1 species
UUUAAGGUUGGGGCAGGGAACGGGGUGAGUAACGCGUGAGAAUCCUUUUACUUCAGGUCUGGGACAACCACUGGAAACGGUGGCUAAUACCGGAUGUGCCGAAAGGUGAAAGGCUUGCUGCCUGAAGAUGAGCUCGCGUCUGAUUAGCUAGUAGGUGGGGUAAGAGCCUACCUAGGCGACGAUCAGUAGCUGGUCUGAGAGGAUGACCAGCCACACUGGGACUGAGACACGGCCCAGACUCCUACGGGAGGCAGCAGUGGGGAAUUUUCCGCAAUGGGCGAAAGCCUGACGGAGCAAUACCGCGUGAGGGAGGAAGGCUCUUGGGUUGUAAACCUCUUUUCUCAGGGAAGAACAAAAUGACGGUACCUGAGGAAUCAGCAUCGGCUAACUCCGUGCCAGCAGCCGCGGUAAUACGGAGGAUGCAAGCGUUACUCCGGAAUUGGAAUUGGGGCGGUAAAAGACGUCCGGCAGGUGGACUGUGUAAGUCCUGCUGUCAAAGAGCGAAGCUUCAACUUCGUAAAGGCAGUGGAAACUACACGGCUAGAGUGCGUUCGGGGCAGAAGGGAAUUCCUGGUGUAGCGGUGAAAUGCGUAGAGAUCAGGAAGAACACCGGUGGCGAAGGCGCUCUGCUAGGCCGCAACUGACACUGAGGGACGAAAGCUAGGGGAGCGAAUGGGAUUAGAUACCCCAGUAGUCCUAGCUGUAAACGAUGGAUACUAGGCGUGGCUUGUAUCGACCCGAGCCGUGCCGUAGCUAACGCGUUAAGUAUCCCGCCUGGGGAGUACGCACGCAAGUGUGAAACUCAAAGGAAUUGACGGGGGGCCCGCACAAGCGGGUGGAGUAUGUGGAUUAAUUCGAUGCAACGCGAAGAAUCCUUUACCAACGGCUUUGAACAUGUCGGCGAACUUUUUCUGAAAGGAAGAGGUGCCUUCAGGAGCGCCGAACCACAGGUGGUGUGUCAUUGGGCGUGUCGUCAGCUCGUGUCGUGAGAUGUUGGGUUAAGUCCCGCAACGAGCGCAACCCUCGUUUUUAGUUGCCAGCAUUAAGUUGGGCACUCUAGAGAGACUGCCGGUGACAAACCGGAGGAAGGUGGGGAUGACGUCAAGUCAGCAUGCCCCUUACGCCUUGGGCUACACACGUACUACAAUGCUACGGACAGAGGGCAGCAAGCUAGCGAUAGCAAGCAAAUCCCAGAAACCGUAGCUCAGUUCAGAUCGAAGGCUGCAACUCGCCUUCGUGAAGGAGGAAUCGCUAGUAAUUGCAGGUCAGCAUACUGCAGUGAAUUCGUUCCCGGGCCUUGUACACACCGCCCGUCACACCAUGGAAGCUGGCAACGCCCGAAGUCAUUACUCCAACCAUUCGUGGGGGAGGAUGCCCUAACGGGCCCGGUGCCUCGA